rnacentral:misc_RNA from 1 species
GGACAGACGCUUGGGCUACUGCUUGCUCUACGAUCUACCCUUCUUGAAAAAUCAGAUACCGUUGGUUAAGCUAUGGCUCCGAUUGCUGCUGGGGAUACUGUGCCAGAGGGAACUCUUGCUUAUUUCGAUGAUCAAGAUCAGCUCCAGCAGGUGUCCAUCCACUCCCUCGCCGCCGGUAAAAAGGUUGUAAUCGUCGGUGUUCCCGGUGCAUUCACCCCUACUUGUAGGUAAUAUUCUUCGUUUUUUCCCUCUGUUGCAGGUUACCACUGAUUAUCAUUUUUAAUUUUUGUAAUUGAGAUUUUGUUUAAUUGAGGAGUUUGAUUUGGUGUGAUUUGGCGUGUGUGUUAGCUUGAAGCAUGUACCAGGGUUUAUCGAGAGAGCAGAGGAGCUGAAAUCGAAGGGAGUGGCAGAAAUUCUAUGCAUUAGCGGUACGUCUCUUCUAAAACGAUUUCUACUAUUCUUCUUUUGUUUCUGUUAUUUUAGGUCUAAACACUUGAAUUGACUUGGAUUCUGCUUCCAACAAAAAUUGUACAAUUUUCCUCGUAAUGUCACAUUAAACGAUUUACCUUUCCGUCAUUUGUUGACUUUGUAUUGGCAAUUACCAAGAAUUUAGCGAGUGGCAAAUUCUUUCGAUCCGAAAAUUCGGACCUUUGAUUUCUCCGUUUUUGGAUGGGGACAUGGUAAAAGAAUAUCCUGGCUCUCUAGUUUAUGAAGUAUGUGGGACAUUAUUGAUAAAAUUAUUAGAAUGCUUCAAUUUUUUUCUCCAUUUUCUAGGCAUCGGCACACGCAAUUUGCCGCCUUGAAUUUCAAGGAGAGAGUAACUCGUGUGUGCCUUUUGUUGAACCAUGUAUGAAGAGUAUGCUCGAUAGAAUAUAAUUGAAUGUGAUGAAUUUCAAGUUUCGUCCAACGAUAAAAUUGGAAACUCCAAUGACUGUUAAGUUAAAGAUAUGCAAAGUUUAUUGAAUUAAUUUUUUUGGUUGAGAAAUUGUCCUUGUGUGAAAAUAUUUUGUAAUGAAUUUUCUCGGUUGCGAUUGUGGUUAACAGAUCAUUGUUAAAUUUGGAAUUUUUUUAGCUGUAAUGCCUGCUCAAAGCGAUUAUCGGGAUUAUUAUCUUGUGCUAUUGUAUUGUCGUGUGUUUUAACGUCCAACUCACUGGUUCUGGAUCUCAUUUGUAGUUAAUGAUCCCUUUGUAAUGAAUGCUUGGGCAAAAACUUAUCCUGAAAACAAGCACGUCAAAUUCCUGGCUGAUGGCUCUGCAACAUAUACACAUGCCCUUGGCCUUGAGCUUGAUCUGAAUGAGAAAGGACUUGGCACACGAUCUAGGAGGUUUGCUCUCUUGGUUGAUGAUCUCAAGGUGAAGGCUGCAAAUCUUGAACAAGGUGGAGAGUUCACCGUUUCCAGUGUUGAUGAAAUCCUGAAGGCACUUUAAGUUCCCCUAGUUAGCUCUCCCCACUCCAGUUACUUUUGUUUCUAAAACUUUUAUUCCCUGAUGUUUUGUUAUCGAUAAUGCUUGCCAGGAGUGAUGUUUCAUUCUCUUAUGAAUCCAAGUUCCCUGUUUGAAAUAGUAUGUAUUGACUUAAAAAGUAAAUAAAGGAGUUUGUUUCUUGUCUUAAAA